CGUCAAAUCAUCAUGCCCCUUAUGACCUGGGCUACACACGUGCUACAAUGGCCACGACAGAGAGAGGCGAAUUCGAGAGGAAGAGCGGAUCUCAGAAAAGUGGUCCCAGUUCGGAUUGUGGGCUGCAACCCGCCCACAUGAAGUCGGAGUUGCUAGUAAUCGCGGAUCAGCAUGCCGCGGUGAAUACGUUCCCGGGCCUU
rnacentral:rRNA from 1 species